UACGGAGGGUCCAAGCGUUAUCCGGAUUUAUUGGGUUUAAAGGGUCCGCAGGCGGAAGAAUAAGUCAGUGGUGAAAUCCUAUCGCUUAACGAUAGAACUGCCAUUGAUACUGUUUUUCUUGAGUAUACUUGAAGUGGGCGGAAUGUGUCAUGUAGCGGUGAAAUGCAUAGAUAUGACACAGAACACCGAUUGCGAAGGCA
rnacentral:rRNA from 1 species